GACGAACGCUGGCGGCAUGUGUAAUACAUGCAAGUCGAACGCACGAAGUUGAAAAGCUUGCUUUUCGACCAAGUGAGUGGCGGACGGGUGAGUAACACGUGGGUAACCUGCCCAUAAGAGGGGGAUAACAUUCGGAAACGGAUGCUAAUACCGCAUAUUUCAAGUGACCGCAUGGUYGCUUGAUGAAAGGUGGCUUCGGCUACCACUUAUGGAUGGACCCGCGGUGCAUUAGUUAGUUGGUGAGGUAAUGGCUCACCAAGACCAUGAUGCAUAGCCGACCUGAGAGGGUGAUCGGCCACACUGGGACUGAGACACGGCCCAGACUCCUACGGGAGGCAGCAGUAGGGAAUCUUCCGCAAUGGACGAAAGUCUGACGGAGCAAUGCCGCGUGAGUGAAGAAGGUUUUCGGAUCGUAAAACUCUGUUGUUAGAGAAGAACAAGGAUGAGAGUAACUGCUCAUCCCCUGACGGUAUCUAACCAGAAAGCCACGGCUAACUACGUGCCAGCAGCCGCGGUAAUACGUAGGUGGCAAGCGUUGUCCGGAUUUAUUGGGCGUAAAGCGAGCGCAGGCGGUUCUUUAAGUCUGAUGUGAAAGCCCCCGGCUCAACCGGGGAGGGUCAUUGGAAACUGGAGAACUUGAGUGCAGAAGAGGAGAGUGGAAUUCCAUGUGUAGCGGUGAAAUGCGUAGAUAUAUGGAGGAACACCAGUGGCGAAGGCGACUCUCUGGUCUGUAACUGACGCUGAGGCUCGAAAGCGUGGGGAGCAAACAGGAU
rnacentral:rRNA from 1 species